GUGAGUUUCACUUUGGACCAGAGUGGGAAAGCUCCAGAAUUCAGCCUCUUAUUAAGUAUGUAUCCAUGACAUCCCAGAAGGCAUUUUUAUGCAAAGUGUCCUAAUGCUGUCAUAUUGAACACUUAAAAGCCUGAUCUCAUCUUAAAAGCUCAAGUUGAACACUUAAAAGCCUGGCCUGAUCUCAUACUGCUGUAACUCCAUCUACUUCAUUAAAAUGGCUCCUGGUCUACAUUGUUGUGAGAGCAAAGCAGACCCACAGGAAUCAUGAAAUGAUAAAAGAGUUCUUUAUAAACUGGCACUGCAGAAGGAUGUGAUGACAUCAGUAAGCAGAAUGACAAAAUGAUUUUACUCCACUUCCUGUGUUAGAGAUACUAUCUAUAUAACCACAGUUGUUAUCCAGGUAUUGCAACUAUGGCCUUGGCUAACAGCAGCAGAAAGUGAAUUAGAUUUGCAAAAAUGAUCAGCAUUUUUGGAGCAUAGCAGCAAUUUGGCAAGUAUUUCAAUUUUCUGUAAUUCUGAAGUUUCUUUAACACCUUUAAAUAUAGGUGAGGCAAAUUGCUGUGAUAACAGAGACAAACCAAACUACAUGCCACUUUGCAAAUUAAUAUUUACAUAUUGCAUUUUAAUUUUCUGAUUAUUACAACUGUCAAAUAACGCUGACAUUUUUCUGCAAGUAUUUGCUCAAAUAAAAUACUGAAUUAGCUCUGUUCUCCUGUAGCUUCUCGGUAAGGCUGUGUAUGUCUGUCAUAGCCACAAUCUCCAUGGAAAUGGUGACAGGGUUGGUUUGUUUGCUUGUUUGUUUGUUUCAGAAAAAGUCCUGGUCCUAGUCACCAGAGUAAGUUCACUACUGAGCAGACUUCCUAUAUGAUUAGUUAUAAAUUUGGUUUUCUACAUGUCUCGUGAAGAGGAUUAUGACACAUAUUGUUGAAGACUGCAAAAUAACUCAACUUUCUGAAGGUUUUCAUGCCUUGAACAUCGUUGUUAAGAACGCUGUGCUUGACUUGACCCUACAGCUCGGGGAUGACCAGAAUCCAAGUACUCGUAACAGAACAGAGAUAUUCAUAGCACUUUACUAAUACUGAGCUAAAUUCUUCCAUCUUUAGACUACUUCUUACACAAGUUCCACUGACUUCAGUGGGACUACUUACAUGAGUAAGAAUCUAGGAGAACCUGGUUCUUUAUUAUUAACAAUGCUAUUUUACUAUUGGCUAUCAAUCAGGUAUUAUGUCUCACAAGUUUGUACAGAAUCCACUUUUUCAUCAACUUACCGGUAAUUACCAUUCCAGCACUAAUGACAAUUACAGUAUUCAAAUGCUUUUUCAAAUUCAGGGCUUUUCCUGUAAUUCUUUCUUUUGAUAUCAUUUUCCCUAUCCUGGGAAAAGCAGUAUUUCUUAAUCUGUCAAAGGGCAGAAAAUCCAACACCGUCUAGUAAACAAACAUGCCCAUACUUGUCUUUCGGAAAGUACUGCAACAGCAUACAGAGCUCAAAUAUUUCAUUCAGCUGCCAUGCAGGUUGUAACAAUCACAGAUUUGCAACCAAUCUACUUACAGCACUAUCCGCCCCAACUGUAUUUAGAUUCUUGCAUACUGCUUAGCAGCUGCACAUACAUUUUUAUUCUAGAAAGCUAGAAGAACAGUGCUAGAAAUGACUACCUGUCAUAACCUAGUAUGUUAGUUUCUCCCUUGAAAACUAAACUACAUACAAUAGUUGAUGCUUCCUAGUUGCUAUAGAGAUAACGUUUUUCUUCCUAAAAAAAACCAACAGAUACAAAGGGCCUGAUUCAAAGUUCAAAAGCUCCCAUUGCCUUCAGUGGGCUUUUGAUUGAUGUCUAAGCUGAACUGAAGCAAAACUAUAUUAAUUGCAAGUAUUCCAGUUUGCUAUUGAUAUACCGGACUAGCCCAAGUCUACAUGCAAUUUUUUUAAACUGACCAGCGGAGUAUUCAUGAAUUAUCCUGAAGGCAAAUGACAAAUGUUUGCCAGUCAUCAUGCAACUUACAUAGGACCAGAAAGGAGUAAUAAGCCCUUCAUGUCAGGAACAGUCUGAGGACAACUCUGCCAUCUAUGUGCCAUAUAAUUUAAUUAGUUCACAAGCAUUCCUACACAAGUAUUUUUGUGGUCAGCAAAUAUUUUCAUAUUUUAAACUUUAAAACUUUUAAUUAAAUUUUUCAUUUUUCAACUGUAUCUUUUUUCAAAGACGAUGACUAAAACUGAAUGCUAUACUCCACAUGCAGACAAACCUAUGUUUUUUGUAAAGCCAUAGCAAAAUCUGCUUGAACUUAUCAAAUAUAUCACACUGUUGAUAGAGUACGUAAAGAUGCUUUUAACAUGCCUAAUUAAACUAUGCUUAGCUUGACCUGAAAGUGUGACUAUGAUUCCGUUCAUUUUCAUCUGCUGUCCCUUUUGUUUUGUAUUAUCAGAAAG